rnacentral:rRNA from 1 species
CCUACGGGGGGCAGCAGUGAGGAAUAUUGGUCAAUGGUCGGAAGACUGAACCAGCCAAGUAGCGUGAAGGAUGAAGGUUCUAUGGAUUGUAAACUUCUUUUAUACGGGAAUAAAACCACCUACGUGUAGGUGCUUGUAUGUACCGUAUGAAUAAGCAUCGGCUAACUCCGUGCCAGCAGCCGCGGUAAUACGGAGGAUGCGAGCGUUAUCCGGAUUUAUUGGGUUUAAAGGGAGCGUAGACGGGAUGUUAAGUCAGUUGUGAAAGGCUGCGGCUCAACCGCAGCACUGCAGUUGAUACUGGCGUCCUUGAGUGCGGUUGAGGUGUGUGGAAUUCGUGGUGUAGCGGUGAAAUGCUUAGAUAUCACGAAGAACUCCGAUUGCGAAGGCAGCACACUAAGCCGCUACUGACGUUGAGGCUCGAAAGUGUGGGUAUCAAACAG